rnacentral:rRNA from 1 species
UGGGGAAUUUUGGACAAUGGGCGAAAGCCUGAUCCAGCAAUGCCGCGUGAGUGAAGAAGGCCUUCGGGUUGUAAAGCUCUUUCACCGGUGAAGAUAAUGACGGUAACCGGAGAAGAAGCCCCGGCUAACUUCGUGC